rnacentral:RNase_P_RNA from 1 species
AAAGUUAACUAAACAGCCGCUAUUGAAUUAUGUUUUGAUAAUAAAUAGAGGAAAGUCCGGGCUCCACAGGGUAAUGAUGCCAGGUAAUGCCUGGGAAAAGAAAUUUUACGACUAGUGCCACAGAAAAAAAACCGCCAUUAUAUUUUUUUUUAAUCAUAAAUUAAAAAAUUUUAUAUAAUAGGUAAGGAUGAAAAGGUGCGGUAAGAGCGCACCGCAAAAUUGGUAACAAUUUUGGCAAGGUAAACUCCAUCUGGAGCAAGACUAAACAGGAAUUAGAUGUGACCCGCAUAAAAAAUUCCGGGUGAGUCGCUUGAAUUAAUAAGUAAUUAUUAAUCUAGAUAAAUGGCUGUUUAAAACAGAACCCGGCUUAUAAGUUAACUUUCUUU